rnacentral:rRNA from 1 species
UACGAAGGUGGCAAGCGUUGUUCGGAUUUACUGGGCGUAAAGGGUGCGUAGGCGGUGAGGUAAGCCCUCCGGGAAAUCUUCAGGCUUAACCUGAAAAGGUCGGGGGGGACUGCCUAGCUUGAGGGCGGGAGAGGAGCGCGGAAUUCCCGGUGUAGCGGUGAAAUGCGUAGAUAUCUGGAGGAACACCGGUGGCGAAGGCGGCAUCCUGGACCGAUAUUGACGCUGAUGCGCGAAAGCGUGGGGAGCAAACAGG